AAAUUGAAGAGUUUGAUCAUGGCUCAGAUUGAACGCUGGCGGCAGGCCUAACACAUGCAAGUCGAGCGGUAGCACAGAGAGCUUGCUCUCGGGUGACGAGCGGCGGACGGGUGAGUAAUGUCUGGGAAACUGCCUGAUGGAGGGGGGAUAACUACUGGAAACGGUAGCUAAUACCGCAUAACGUCGCAAGACCAAAGUGGGGGACCUUCGGGCCUCAUGCCAUCAGAUGUGCCCAGAUGGGAUUAGCUAGUAGGUGGGGUAACGGCUCACCUAGGCGACGAUCCCUAGCUGGUCUGAGAGGAUGACCAGCCACACUGGAACUGAGACACGGUCCAGACUCCUACGGGAGGCAGCAGUGGGGAAUAUUGCACAAUGGGCGCAAGCCUGAUGCAGCCAUGCCGCGUGUGUGAAGAAGGCCUUCGGGUUGUAAAGCACUUUCAGCGGGGAGGAAGGCGAUAAGGUUAAUAACCUUGUCGAUUGACGUUACCCGCAGAAGAAGCACCGGCUAACUCCGUGCCAGCAGCCGCGGUAAUACGGAGGGUGCAAGCGUUAAUCGGAAUUACUGGGCGUAAAGCGCACGCAGGCGGUCUGUCAAGUCGGAUGUGAAAUCCCCGGGCUCAACCUGGGAACUGCAUUCGAAACUGGCAGGCUAGAGUCUUGUAGAGGGGGGUAGAAUUCCAGGUGUAGCGGUGAAAUGCGUAGAGAUCUGGAGGAAUACCGGUGGCGAAGGCGGCCCCCUGGACAAAGACUGACGCUCAGGUGCGAAAGCGUGGGGAGCAAACAGGAUUAGAUACCCUGGUAGUCCACGCCGUAAACGAUGUCGAUUUGGAGGUUGUGCCCUUGAGGUGUGGCUUCCGGAGCUAACGCGUUAAAUCGACCGCCUGGGGAGUACGGCCGCAAGGUUAAAACUCAAAUGAAUUGACGGGGGCCCGCACAAGCGGUGGAGCAUGUGGUUUAAUUCGAUGCAACGCGAAGAACCUUACCUGGUCUUGACAUCCACAGAACUUUCCAGAGAUGGAUUGGUGCCUUCGGGAACUGUGAGACAGGUGCUGCAUGGCUGUCGUCAGCUCGUGUUGUGAAAUGUUGGGUUAAGUCCCGCAACGAGCGCAACCCUUAUCCUUUGUUGCCAGCGGUUAGGCCGGGAACUCAAAGGAGACUGCCAGUGAUAAACUGGAGGAAGGUGGGGAUGACGUCAAGUCAUCAUGGCCCUUACGACCAGGGCUACACACGUGCUACAAUGGCAUAUACAAAGAGAAGCGACCUCGCGAGAGCAAGCGGACCUCAUAAAGUAUGUCGUAGUCCGGAUUGGAGUCUGCAACUCGACUCCAUGAAGUCGGAAUCGCUAGUAAUCGUAGAUCAGAAUGCUACGGUGAAUACGUUCCCGGGCCUUGUACACACCGCCCGUCACACCAUGGGAGUGGGUUGCAAAAGAAGUAGGUAGCUUAACCUUCGGGAGGGCGCUUACCACUUUGUGAUUCAUGACUGGGGUGAAGUCGUAACAAGGUAACCGUAGGGGAACCUGCGGUUGGAUCACCUCCUUA
rnacentral:rRNA from 1 species